rnacentral:rRNA from 1 species
ACAGGGCCAUGGAUCUGGUCUUGGGACACUGUCAGGUGGGCAGUUUGACUUGGGCGGUCGCCUCCCAAAAGGUAACGGAGGCUCUCAAAGGUUCUCUCCGUACGGUCGGAAAUCGUACGUAGAGUGUAAAGGCAAAAGAGAGCUUGAUUGCAGGACAUACAGGUCGAGCAAGGAUGAAAAUCGGACUUAGUGAUCCGGUGGUUCUGCGUGGAAGGGCCAUCGCUCAACGGAUAAAAGCUACCCUGGGGAUAACAGGCUUAUCUCCCCCAAGAGUCUACAUCGACGGGGAGGUUUGGCACCUCGAUGCCGGCUCAUCACCUCCUGUGGCUGUAGUAGGUCCCAAGGGUUGGGCUGUUCGCCCAUUAAAUUGGUACGCGAGCUGGGUUCAGAACGUCGUGAGACAGUUCGGUCCCUAUC